UAGCCUAAUGGUUAAGGCUAUGGAUCGCCAAUCCGGAGACGGUGGGUUCGAUUCCCGU
rnacentral:tRNA from 1 species